GCAUGUCUCUUGGUCAGAUUCAGGCCGUUCUUGAGAUGGGUCAUACUCCGGAUCUGGAUCUUCACUUCUUCUUUCACUUCUUGUUUCAUUGGUUUCCUUUUUUUGUCCUUUUGAAGCCUCUUUAAGUAUGAUUGCGACUUUUCCAACGCCGAGGGAAGACAAUACCUUCUAGUUCCUUAAGAUACCUGUAGCCCUCUUCUGCUCUUAAGGAAUGAGCUCCAGUUCUUUAUGUUAGGAAAAAAAAGAAACUUCUAUAAAAUUGCCCAACCACUGUAAACAAAAGAAACUAUUGUACAAGAAACAAACUGCUGCAAAAUCUAAAGGUAGAGCGCACCAAAACAAGAUCCAAUAUUGGAUGUUCCUAGCCAAAAUAAGAUCCAGGAAAGGAUGUUCCUACCCAACCUUAUACGAGCUGAAAGGGUAAAUUACUAUAAAAGAAAUAAAUUAAUGUAAAAUCAUAAAGGUACUGCCCCCCCCCAAAAAAAAUAGAUCCAAGAUAGGAUUUUCCUACCCAACCUUGUACUAGCCCAAAGGACAAACUAGUAAAAGAACAAAAUAGUGUGUACAUGGGAACUACCAAAUCUGCAAACAAACAACAAAGUAAAAGUGGUAACAAAACUAAAUAAGGAAAUACUUUAAUCACAACACCGGGGAUGCUUAACUGGGGAGGAAAACAUCGUACCUGGUUGUUGAUGUUUCCUUCGUACGACCUUCCCACCUGGUGCCAUUGCAUCACUGCUGGUCCUACAGAGGGAGAUGGGAAAUGGGCGGCAUCUAUGAGGGAAAGAUUGUGGAUGGCGGUGAGCAGGUAAAGAUUUGGGAUGGGGGUUAGGAGGAGGUGAAGAUUUGGGAUGGGGCGAGAAGAUGAAGGGGAACUGAUGGCGGAAAGUAUUUGGAUGUGGAAGAUUUGGGAGGAGAGAGAGAAGGGAGGGAAUAUUUGACCAAUUGGGUGGAUGGCCCUAUUACAUUACCAAUAUACCCUUUUACUAUGGUAGUGGUUUGGAAGGGGGGAGAAAAAUUGAUAUUUCGCUUCUGUCACACGGCUUGGUCGGGUGUCCGAAUAUUUGAAUAGCGCACCGGAAAGAUUUUGGGGAUGGUCCGUGCCACGUAAUGGUGACCAAAGGAUGUUCCGCUUAGUAGAAUAUGCCGAACAAAAAUCUGAAUAGUGAAAUGUCUAGUAGUCUAUUCAUGGGACGUUUCUUAUUCUUGGUACAAUCAGCGUAACCUGUACCAAAACUUUAUUGGUAGAAUCAGGAGAAUCUGGACCCAGAUUCAACAAAUUAUCAUUCAAAAUCUUUGGUAUAUCAUGAGAACACCUUCAAAGCCGGAUAUUCUAUUAUUUGGUACCGCUCCCUCCGUUUAUGUACUCCUCCACUUAUAUUGAAGUACGUUGUUAGGUACUACUCCCUCCUUUUAUAAGGUGUACGCGCAUAAGCGUAAUAAGGGAGACAAUAUCAUAUAAUAUCAUAUCACGUCUUAUAAACAAGAACGGAGGGUGUAUUUAGGAUGGAGUUUUACAUUGGGAAACUAAAGAAACCUCAUAUCUAUUUGGUGUGCUUACUAGGAUUUGAAAUCCUUGUACCAUCCCGGCAACAUUGGAAAGCCUUGUACCAUGCCUUCCAUUGGAUGUGUUUACUACUUAAUCAUGUGCACAUUGGAAAUCAAACAAGUCUCCCUUUGGUUGCAUGUGCUUACUUACAUGUCAACAUUGGAAACCAAAGAAAUCUCUCUUGGAUUGGGUGUGCUUACUACUUAUUCAUGUGCACAUUAGCAAUUAAACAUCAUUUU
rnacentral:lncRNA from 1 species